GACCCUGGACAAUUCACUUGAUUUCCCUGAGCCUCAGUUUCCUUCCCCAUAAAAUGGGGAUUUAAUCCUAUUCCCUCAUACGUAAAUUGUGAUGCCUCUGUGGGACAGUGUCCGUGUCCAACCUGAUUAUCUUGUAUAUUUCCUAGCGCUUAGUACAGCGCUUGGCGUAUAGUAAUCACUUGACAAGCCCCAUUGAAAAAAAAAAAAGGCGAGAAUGAUUUUCAAAAUAAUAUAAAAAGUCCUUCUUCUUGGUUUGGCUUGGCACCAUUUUACAGUGACUAGCUCAGUGUUACUCAAAUGAUGAGCAGGGAUGUUGGGCUUGGAACAGAGGAUUUUGCUUAAUUCACUGGAAAGGGAAUUUACUUCUAAACAGAACAUGGGCUGAAGUGAAAGAGAAAAGCACAAACUACUGGAAUAGUUUUGUAGUGCCACCUGGACAUUUUUUCAUGGUUUUUUUUUUUAUUGUUCUGUGUGUGUGUGUUUUUAAAGGCUAGCUUUGUGCAUUCUGUGGAUUUGCCCAAUCGAAGGGAAUCUCAGAGUUUGCUGAAAAAUUCACGGAGAAGCAAAAUCUCAACGUUCUGAUGACGGCCAUCUGAGGCCCCUCCGGAGGACAUUGAACUGCGUAGCUCCGAAAGCCCAAUACCUUGGUGUUUCUGGUACAUCACCAAUGCAGGCUGCCGGGUGAAAGGGAGCACUCAGAGAAGAGGGACUGGAGAAGAGUUUUUCUUCAAAUACUCUGGUCUCCCGUCUCGGCUCUGUCUCUCCUUCAGGAUGUGUGUGGACAGUGCGGUGGCCAACCCCCAGCCCCGGCCCCCCACACUGGCUCAGAUGGCACCACCUCCACUCGUCUUCGAUGUGCCCGCCCUGGCCAGGAGGCCCAGGGCAUGGGGCCUAAACCUACCAUUUCCCAUGGUGGCCGCCUGCUCACCCCGCAGGGGAGGCUGGAGCUGCUGCUUAUUCCCCAAGGGAGAGAAGCCCCCGCACCCCAACCUCUUCUUCCAAGAGUGGAAGCCCGUCUCUUCGCUUACCUUUGGCCAGAAGGGACUCCAGGCCGAAUGAAGAGGAGAAAUUCAUGGACGCUUUGGACCACCUGGCUCAGGGAUUUAAUAGACU